GUAGACAUAGUUUUAAUAAAAACAUUAGAUUGUGAUUCUAAAGACAGAAGUUAAAAUCUUCUUGUCCACC
rnacentral:tRNA from 1 species